rnacentral:rRNA from 1 species
GGGAACCUGCCCCAUAGUCUGGGAUACCACUUGGAAACAGGUGCUAAUACCGGAUAAGAAAGCGGAUCGCAUGAUCAGCUUUUAAAAGGCGGCGUAAGCUGUCGCUAUGGGAUGGCCCCGCGGUGCAUUAGCUAGUUGGUAAGGUAAAGGCUUACCAAGGCGAUGAUGCAUAGCCGAGUUGAGAGACUGAUCGGCCACAUUGGGACUGAGACACGGCCCAAACUCCUACGGGAGGCAGCAGC